AAAAGGUCAAAAUUCACAUGGAAUAUUUUUUUUAAAAAAAUAAAAUCAAGCUAACAAAUAAUAGUACAACACAGCUUAUAUCUUGAUAGCAACGCAUGCCGCACACAUGUUUUAUCUAGUCACAACAUUACAUACCUACAAACAACAAACUGGCCAAAUGAUAAAAAUGAAAUAGAAUAAAAUGACUUAGCACUAGUACUCCAUCAUCCCGUCAAAACGCUUUCCAACUAUCAGAAUCUCUCCUUGGUGUCUGACUCUCGGCCGACGUCUUAAAUGGGUCAUUUGAACCGAACGGAUCCGCAUCAUCAAAAGAUGUGAAACCAUGACGAUGAUCUGUGUCCCUGGUACUACUCAUGGAAUCAAACCUACUUAGUGAUUCGCGAGGAGGAAAGAGCCCAAAAUUAUAGUCAGAGUCUGCGGUGCUGCGAAAUGAAUCAAACCUAGCAAAUGAGUCCCGUUGCUGGAAUGAACCAUGAUCGUAGUCAGAGUCUCUGGUGCUGCGCAUUGAAUCAAAUCUUGAAAGAGAGUCACGGGUGCCAAAGGGGCCACUAUCAUUCAUGUUAAAGGAAUCAAAUCUGGAGAAGCUGUUCGAGUUUUCUUCAAAUCCUUCACUAUGUCUGCGAGGCGAGUUUGUAGAACUGUACAUAGGUGUGCUUGGAACCGAGUCCCCAAAGGCAAACGGACUCUUAUUCUGGAACAUAUUAUCUGCAUUCGGGGAGCCUCCUGAAUUAUAAGCUGGUGUGCUAGGAACAGAAUCAAAGAAGGGACUUUGCCUCGAGAACAAGUUAUCAGUCUGAGUGAAUCCAGAGUUGUAACUUGGGGUACUUGGAACAGAAUCAAAGAAAGGGCUUUGCUUCGGGAAUGUGUUGUCUGAAUAACUGAACCCAGCAUUGUAACUUGGAGUGCUAGGAACAGAAUCAAAGAAAGGGCUUUGCUUCGGGAAUGUGUUGUCUGAAUAACUGAACCCAGCAUUGUAACUUGGAGUGCUA
rnacentral:misc_RNA from 1 species